rnacentral:rRNA from 1 species
AACCAUGCAAGUCGAACGGUGAACACGGAGCUUGCUCUGUGGGAUCAGUGGCGAACGGGUGAGUAACACGUGAGCAACCUGCCCCUGACUCUGGGAUAAGCGCUGGAAACGGCGUCUAAUACUGGAUAUGUGACGUGACCGCAUGGUCUGCGUCUGGAAAGAAUUUCGGUUGGGGAUGGGCUCGCGGCCUAUCAGCUUGUUGGUGAGGUAAUGGCUCACCAAGGCGUCGACGGGUAGCCGGCCUGAGAGGGUGACCGGCCACACUGGGACUGAGACACGGCCCAGACUCCUACGGGAGGCAGCAGUGGGGAAUAUUGCACAAUGGGCGCAAGCCUGAUGCAGCAACGCCGCGUGAGGGACGACGGCCUUCGGGUUGUAAACCUCUUUUAGCAGGGAAGAAGCGAAA